AUGUUAAUUAUCUUCCAUACCUCUCAUGAGUUUAUGGAAGACUUGAAGGAGGCAGAUUUGUGUGCUGCACUUGUUGUAAAGAAAGAAGAGCACCUGACUGUUGAAAUUCCAUCCAAGGUAUGUGGUUUAUUGGCAGAAUUUCAGAACAUACUUGGGGAGCCACAUGGCUUGCCACCGAUGAGAGGAAUUCAACAUAGAAUUGACUUAAUUCCGGGAGCAAGUCUUCCUAAUCUUCCACACUAUCGAAUGAGCCCAAAGGAGCAUGAUAUAUUGAAGGAAAAAGUGGAGGAAUUGUUGCAAAAGGGGCACAUUCGAGAAAGUAUUAGCCAAUGUGCUGUACCAACCCUACUCGCGCCAAAGAAAGAUGGAUCUUGGCGCAUGUGUACGGACAGUAGAGCCGUUAACAAGAUCACCGUAAGGUAUAGAUUCCCUAUUCCCCGUCUGGAUGAUAUGUUGGAUCAGCUUAGUGGAGCAAGAGUGUUCACAAAGCUAGAUUUAAGAAGUAGAUAUCAUCAAAUUCGUAUAAGACCUGGGGAUGAAUGGAAGACCGCCUUCAAGACAAAGGAAGGGUUGUUUGAAUGGCUAGUCAUGCCAUUUGGACUCUCAAAUGCACCAAGUACCUUUAUGCACUUAAUGAAUCAAGUCCUUAGACCCUUCUUAUCCCACUUUGUUGUGGUCUAUUUCGAUGACAUCUUGAUCUAUAGCAAGGAUGAGGAUGAACACUUUGAUCACAUUCGGAAGGUGCUAGAAGUACUAAGGGAAAAUGAGCUCUACGUCAACUUGAAGAAAUGUGUUUUCCUAUAA
rnacentral:rRNA from 1 species